GCUUGCUUAAUCACCGACACCGACACUUUCUUAGUGAACGCUAAUCAGCUCCAGAGCUGGCGGUUUGGUCUCAAUGUUUUUAUGUUCCAGGGAUAACCUCCGCUUUCUUUGAGAUUGAAGAGUGUGCUUUGUCCAAAUUUAUUGAGAUUUGACUUAAUUGCGUGAUCGUCCUGGAUGGCUAUGAAUCCCAGCCAUUUUUUGUGAGCCCAUGUAGCUGGCGUUUGCGGUGAUCCAGCUUCGAUUCGAGUUGAGAAAUGGGUGCAAACUUUUUUGUGGUGUAAAGUGAUUCACAAUGAGGCGUGCAUUGUUGUUGAUUUGUGUUCUAGGUUUUUUGGGGCGGAUAGGCAUUAUUUAAAGCAGAGCCUGGGUGCACAUUCAGUGGGAGUUGGCGUUUUGGUGUUAAGUGUGGACGUUGAACAGCUGUGAAAAGGAGAGCUGUCGCUUGGUCUCGAUUUUCCUGUUAUUGGAUUGGAGGCAUGGAUGGACCGAAUUCUUCGACAAAUUUGGAGUUCUCUGGGGGUGGGUCUGAAUAUGCAGCGGAUGAGGAAUUCGGAAAGGAUUCUGGAGCGUCGGAGAAAGUUGAAGAUGUUUUGUCCAGUUUUGACUACACUUCGUGCUAUUGUGAGGAGAAUGUGUACAUGCUAUGCAAGAAGUUGAGCAAAGUGGGGUUGGCUGCUCCAGACGCGUCUGACCUCUUUGCGGUCUUCAUCUCCAAUCCAAAACGCCAGGUUCCUAUAUGGCGUCAAAGAAGCAGCAAGGACGCAGCAGGAUUAUGCGUUUGGGACUACCAUGUUAUAUGCAUUCAAAGAGAUCUGAAAAGGGAGACUGCUGUGCUGGUUUGGGAUCUGGACACCAGUCUGCCAUGUCCAACUACUCUAGAUGAUUAUGUGGCAGGAGCUUUUCAGCCAUGGAUACCCUUGAAUCCCGAGUUUUCCAGAUUCUACAGGGUCAUUGCUGCACCCAUGUAUUUGAGAUUCUUUGCCUCUGAUAGACGGCAUAUGAAGAAAAAAGACGGGAGUUGGAUGGCCCUCCCCCCACUUUACGAUUGUCUAGUGGCUGAAGAUGGAGCGGUACAUAAUUUGGAGGAGUUUAUAACCAUGUCAGUUGAUCAUGUUAUAACCAGCCCAGAGGAAGCGAUAUCCUCGGUGAUGCAUCAGAAACUUGGAAUCCUCCUCGGUGAAAAGGGUUUGCUGCAGUUUUUCAAUCAGAACCUAGGUCGCUAAGAAGUGCAUUACAAAUAUUGGACCGAAGCAUUUGAUGCUAACAUAAAAUACAGGAACAUAGUGAGUUGUGCAUAGUUCAUCAUGACACAGCAAAAUGUGCGUCAAUUACCUUGAACAAACGUAUAGUGAAUUGUGUAAGGGUUUGCACAAUUACUGCACCCCUAGAUGCGGUUUCGAAUAAGUAAUGGAAGGAUUCAUCAGCUAGAAAUGUAAUAGGUUUCUACUUUUUGAGAGUUAUCUACAGAACUGCGCAUGUUAGUUGUGUGCCUCAGGUGAAGCAGAAGCGGAUCCAAACGAGCUACUAUCAAGGGCAUGAAGUGUCGCGUACCGUAAUUGGAUUCAGUAGAUGAAAAUGGAAGCAACAACAAAUUCUCCAGACUGCAUUUUGUGAGUUUCAGCUCUAGAAAGUUUUUAGCCAUCCUGCGAAGAUUCAUUUGCCGAAACCUUAUAAUUCAAGAGGUAUGAAGUCCAAGUGGUUCUUGGCAGGUGGCUACGGCUAACUAGGUGGUCAUGCGACCUUUGGAGUCCGUCCUAAAGCUUCCUAUCAAUCCUAUCCUGAUUAAGUCACCAGAUUCUUGAAUAAGACAUUGACUCUCUUUCUAAACGGGUGCUACGCACAAUUCACUGUGCGUGGGGAUCAACGGAGUAGUAAAAAGUUCUGUGGCACUGGAGAAGGCAAUUGGUGGCAGUUGGCUUGCAUAUUGUGCAUAUGUGCGACAAAAAUGCUGCUGAAGAGUUUAUCUGGAGCAAUAACAUGCAUGCCAGUGGCAAAUGUACCAGAAUACCAAGCAGCUGCAACGCCCUCAUAGAAGCCUCUGUGUGGUUGUUACGUGUGGGUCGGAUUCUGCAUGAUAGAACUCUUGUGAAAACUAUGCCUAGGGUGAUAUAGAAAUGGAACAACUCUUUUUGCGCAGGCUCCUUCUCUUCUCCACUGGCAAAGGUGGUGUCUUCAAGCAGUCUUUUCUGCAGAAGUAAACGCUGCAGAAAACUGAGUAUCCUUUGCUUCGAGUGAUUUUUCACUUGUGCUCAAGCGUUGGAGUAGUCCAGAGGUUGCAGGCUGCAGAUGAGAAUGGUGGUAUUCGCAAUUUCCAAGGGAAGAACAUCUCAAAAUUACUAGCACCGUUGAAACCGAGGAUCAUUGAUUCAAUGGGGUAUUAGGAGAUAUUGAUAGCAGAACUUUUCUCACGCUUGCUAGCAGUUUCUCAGACCUAAUGAAGCGCUAGAAGCGCUCGAAAAAGUUAGAAGGUAGUCAUUUGGUGCACAUCUUAAAAGUAGGAUGAAGUAAUCUCCAUGAGAAAAGCAUGAAAAGGUGGAGAAAAUGACUUCUAGAGAAAGACUCGACAUUAAUAGAUGUGUGACUAUUGACUCGUCCUAAAUAGAAAGGCGGAAAACUGCAAGAUAGCUUGCUUUAUUAAAUAAAUACUGCAAAAGAGAGAUUCACUCA